rnacentral:rRNA from 1 species
AACGCGAAGAACCUUACCAAGGCUUGACAUGUCGGAAGUAGUGAACCGAAAGAGGAACCACCUGUUAAGUCAGGAGCCGACACAGGUGCUGCAUGGCUGUCGUCAGCUCGUGCCGUGAGGUGUAUGGUUAAGUCCUGCAACGAGCGCAACCCCUGUUGUCAGUUGUUUUCUCUAGCGAGACUGCCCUGCAAAACGGGGAGGAAGGUGGGGAUGACGUCAAGUCAGCACGGCCCUUAUGCCUUGGGCUACACACACGCUACAAUGGGUGGUACAAUGGGUAGCAAUAGAGCGAUCUGGAGCCAAUCCUAUAAAGCCAUCCUCAGUUCGGAUUGCAGGCUGAAACCCGCCUGCAUGAAGUUGGAGUUGCUAGUAACCGCAGGUCAGCAUACUGCAGUGAAUACGUUCUCGGGCCUUGUACACACCGCCCGUCACGUCAUGAAAGUUGGCAACACCUGAAGUCGAUGGGCUAACUCCGACUUAUCGGAGAGGCAGUCGCCGAGGGUGGGGUUAAUGAUUGGGACGAAGUCGUAACAAGGUAACCUUAAUUAAAA